rnacentral:rRNA from 1 species
AUUGAACGCUGGCGGAAUGCUUUACACAUGCAAGUUUCGAACGGUAGAGGGGGCAACCCCUCGAGAGUGGCGAACGGGUGAGUAAUAUAUCGGAACGUGCCCAGUCGUGGGGGAUAACGUAGCGAAAGUUACGCUAAUACCGCAUACGAUCUAAGGAUGAAAGCGGGGGAUCGCAAGACCUCGCGCGAUUGGAGCGGCCGAUAUCAGAUUAGGUAGUUGGUGGGGUAAAGGCUCACCAAGCCAACGAUCUGUAGCUGGUCUGAGAGGACGACCAGCCACACUGGAACUGAGACACGGUCCAGACUCCUACGGGAGGCAGCAGUGGGGAAUUUUGGACAAUGGACGCAAGUCUGAUCCAGCCAUUCCGCGUGCAGGAUGAAGGCCCUCGGGUUGUAAACUGCUUUUGUACGGAACGAAAAGGUCUCUCUUAAUACGGGGGGCUCAUGACGGUACCGUAAGAAUAAGCACCGGCUAACUACGUG